UUCAAUUCUGUCUCUGUAGCACUCAGACAGAAAUAUAGAUCUAAAUUAUACAUAGAUCAGGCCGCUAUAUUUCGCAUUGUUCAGAACCACUUUUUGUAUGUUGAUAUCUUGAUUUCUACAAUAAACCAAUUCAUCAAGCCUCAUAACAUUCCAACUUGUACUCCUUUGAUUGAAACAAAAAUCUUGGAAAAUUUGUACGGAAGCGUUUUAGCGACACAUAAUCUUUUUACAUUUCUUCUAAUGUUUGCG
rnacentral:lncRNA from 1 species